rnacentral:rRNA from 1 species
GCGCAGCAGUCGAGAAACCUUCGCAAUGCAGGAAACUGCGACGAGGGAACUCCAAGUGCCUACGCUCAGCGUAGGCUGUUCUCAAGCCUAGAAAGCUUGAGGAGUAAGGGCUGGGUAAGACGGGUGCCAUCUGUGGUAGCAGUCAAUAGAUUCGAUUUGUUACUGCAAGGCAUAAGCCGCCGCGGUAAUACCCGCAGCCCAAGUGGUGACCGUUAUUAUUGGGCCUAAAACGUCCGUAGCCGGUUUAAUAAAUGCCUGGGUAAAUCGUGUAGCUUAACUAUACGAAUUCCGGGUAGACUGUUAAACUCGAGACCGGGAGAAGUUAGAGGUACUCCUGGGGUAGAGGUGAAAUUCUGUAAUCCUAGGGGGACCACCAGUGGCGAAGGCGUCUAACUAGAACGGGUCUGACGGUGAGGGACGAAGCCCUGGGGCGCAAACGGGAUUAGAUACCCGCGUAG